rnacentral:piRNA from 1 species
UCAUAUUUCGGUGGGUUAUAU